AAAGAUCAUUGACGAGAGUAAUGGUUGGAUGUAUGGACGUCUGUAUCUAGUAUGAGAAAUUAACGAUUUAAGUCCUUCUUAAAUGAGGCCAUUUACCCAUAGAGGGUGCCAGGCCCGUAUAACGUUAAUGAUUACUAGAAGAUGUUUCCAAAGAGUCGUGUUGCUUGAUAGUGCAGCACUAAGUGGGUGGUAAACUCCAUCUAAAACUAAAUAUAACCAUGAGACCGAUAGUAAACAAGUACCGUGAGGGAAAGUUGAAAAGAACUCUGAAUAGAGAGUUAAAUAGUACGUGAAACUGCUUAGAGGUUAAGCCCGAUGAACCUGAAUAUCCGUUAUGGAAAAUUCAUCAUUAUAUCUGUAAUAUUUAUAAUAUCAUAGAAAUGGUGUGCAUUUUUUCCAUAUAAGGACAUUGUAAUCUAUUAACAUAAUAUAUAUUUAUCAAAAGGUCAUUUGCUUAUGUUUAUUCAAAUUAAUUUGCUUGCAAGUUAACACAGAAUAAAUGCUUAUGAUUUGAUAAAGUGUUGAUAGAUUAAUAAUAUAUAGUGCUUAAAUACUUUUGUAUUUUACAAUGGUGUAAUUAUCUUAUGAUUUUUAUAUCUAUUGUAUGCGCUUAUAUGAUUAACAAUGCGAUAGAUUCAGGAUACCUUCGGGACCCGUCUUGAAACACGGACCAAGGAGUCUAACAUAUGUGCAAGUCAUUGGGAUUAUUUAUAUAAACCCAAAGGCGUAAUUAACUUAACUGUUUAAAUGGGAUUAGUUUUUAGUCUUUAUGUCUAUUAAUUCAAUCCCGGGGCGUUCUAUACAGUUAUGUAUAAUAAUAUUUAUAUUAUUUAUACCUCUAACUAGAGCGUACCUUGAGCAUAUAUGCUGUGACCCGAAAGAUGGUGGGUUUUUUUUUUUUUUUUUUUGUUUUGUUGUUUGCCAAGUAUCAACAUAGUAACAUAACAACAGUAUAGUGGA
rnacentral:rRNA from 1 species